rnacentral:snRNA from 1 species
CAUGGGCUUGUCCAGUCCAAAUG